UUGGUAGAGCAUCUGACUUUUAANCACACCCGUUCCCAUACCGAACACGGAAGUUAAGCUCUCUAGCGCCGAUGGUAGUUGGGACCUUGUCCCUGUGAGAGUAGGACGUUGCCAGG
rnacentral:rRNA from 1 species